UCAAGCAAUAGAUUCUGUGGUUAAGUUAUAUAACCAUAUUUUAAUUACAUCCUGAUUUGUUAUUGUUUUUGUUGUAAUUAUCUAUCAAGAAUAUCAUGUAUGAAUAUUGAGAACAGAUGAUAAGAUCGUAACAUCAACGUACAUUGAAAUAAUGACGUAAUUUAUCACUUGAAGAUUAAAAUUUUUACUGCCUUUAUCACCAAUAAUUGAAUGUUGAUGUAUUUUUUGACGAGAAAUCUAUCACGUUUUCGUAGGUUUUUGCAUAUAAAUCACCUAAAACUACCAAAUAUGACUCAAAUUGAAACAGAAACCUAUGAGAAAGCAAUUCAAUUCUUGAAUGAAGUACAAUCAAACAGGAACAAUUUAUUGACCACAAGUACCCAAACAAUUGCUUCCAGCCAGACAUCUUCACAUAAAUUAGAUCUUGUCAAGAAAUAUCUCAUUCGAAGUGGAAUGAAUAUUAAUGAUUUCAAUAAAUUACCAGUAAUACAUGUCAGUGGAACCAAAGGAAAAGGUUCAACUUGUGCAUUUUGCGAGAGUAUUUUACGACACAAUGGUUAUAAAACUGGAUUUUUUUCUUCACCACAUCUAAUUGAAGUCAGAGAGCGAAUACGAAUUAAUGGUCAACCAAUAUCUAAGGAAAUUUUCUCCCAAUACUUCUGGAACAUUCUGAAAAAUUUGAAUUCUCACAAGGAGAGUGAGCAAGAUCUACCAUUUUAUUUUCAACUUCUAUUUAUAAUGGCAAUGCAUAUAUUUGUGAAGGAAAAUGUUGAUGUUGCCAUAAUAGAAGUGGGAAUUGGAGGAGAAUAUGAUCCAACAAAUAUAGUAAAAAAUGUUCCAGUAGUUGGUAUCACAUCUUUAGGUUUUGAUCAUACAUCAGUCCUUGGAAAAACCAUUGAAAGUAUAGCAUGGAAUAAAGCUGGAAUUAUGAAGAAAAAUAGUAAAGUUUUCACUGUUUCUCAACCUAAAGAUGCUUAUGAUAUUUUACAAAAAAGAAGUAUUGAAAAAGAGUGUACUCUCAAUGUUGUUGAUAAUUAUUGUCAUUUGAAAUGUAUGCAAAAGUAUCCACUCAGUAUUCAAACAAAUAUUAAUUUAGCUAUUAAAAUGGCUGAAGAAUGGCUGAUUUCUCGAUCAAAGCAAAACAAUUCAUUCUUGGAUGCAGAUGUUUUGAGAGAAUCUAUUGAAAAUUGCAUUUGGCCCGGAAGAUAUGAUAUCCAACAGAAAGGAAACACCACCUUCUUUAUCGAUGGUGCCCAUACUGUUGAAAGUAUUGAAAUUUGUGUAAAAUGGUAUUUAAAUGAAAUUAAAAAAAGAGAAGGCAAAAAAGCUUUGAUAUUCAAUUUAACAGGAGGCAGAUCAUGUGAAAAAUUCUUUACAAUACUAAAAAAAUGCGAGUUUCAACAAAUUAUUUUUGUUCCUAAUGUUGCUGAUACAUCAAAUGUAAAUGCGGGUAUGUUAGAUCUUCAUAGAAGUUACAUUUUUAUUGGAGUGGUAUCCUUACAUUCUACUAAAAUGGGUUUGAAUUUACCAUAAUCAGUUUUAGGGAGAAUAGCUCUCCUAUUGUGGGUCGACAAUCAUUAGGGCUAUCCAGAUCUUGGACACGGCAGAUCUGAAAAACUGGCUGAAAUGGCAGAUGAAACACUCUUUCAGGUUUCUCAGCCAGGAGUAGAGUCCCCUUUCUAUGCUUCUUCUGUCCACUUUCUUUUUCACACAUAGCAUGGUAGUUAUUUCACCUACAAUCCAGCAUGGUGUCCUUACUGCAGAAUGCCCGCUUCAUUUUCACAAAGAUAGCUCUUGCCUGUUUUAUUUCUAUUUCUUCCGAGCAGUCAUUAUUUUUGGUUGAUCAUGGUGCCCAGAUAAUAUUAAUUUGGUAUCACCUGUAGGUGAGCAACUAUCUCUUUGCAAUACUUAUAAAGAGAAAUGGUUGAGCAGUGCUCCUGAAGAUGAACAAGUAUGUGUUUUUCCUUGUGUUAAAGAGGCAAUGGAUUUU